UACGUAGGGUCCGAGCGUUGUCCGGAAUUACUGGGCGUAAAGAGCUCGUAGGUGGUUUGUCGCGUUGUUCGUGAAAACUCACAGCUCAACUGUGGGCGUGCGGGCGAUACGGGCAGACUGGAGUACUGCAGGGGAGACUGGAAUUCCUGGUGUAGCGGUGGAAUGCGCAGAUAUCAGGAGGAACACCGGUGGCGAAGGCGGGUCUCUGGGCCGGUACUGACGCUGAGGCACGAAGGCGUGGGGAGCGAACGGG
rnacentral:rRNA from 1 species